UCUAACAUGUGCGCGAGUCAUUGGGACUUUUUUUUCAGGAAAGCCUAGAGGCGCAAUGAAAGUGAAGAUCGGCCUUUACGGCUCGAUCGAGGGAGGAUGGCUCGGUUAGUAUUGCAGAGUCCGCACUCCCGGGGCGUCUCGCGGUCAUUUUGACCGGAGGCGCACCCAGAGCGUACACGUUGGGACCCGAAAGAUGGUGAACUAUGCCUGGUCAGGACGAAGUCAGGGGAAACCCUGAUGGAGGUCCGUAGCGAUUCUGACGUGCAAAUCGAUCGUCGGAACUGGGUAUAGGGGCGAAAGACUAAUCGAACCAUCUAGUAGCUGGUUCCCUCCGAAGUUUCCCUCAGGAUAGCUGGCACUCGCUUUGAGCGAGUCUCAUCUGGUAAAGCGAAUGAUUAGAGGCCUUGGGGCCGAAACGACCUCAACCUAUUCUCAAACUUUAAAUGGGUGAGAUCUCUGGCUUGCUUGAAACUUGAAGCCACGAGAUUACAAUGAAUGGAUCAGAGUGCCAAGUGGGCCAAUUU
rnacentral:rRNA from 2 species